AACGAACGCUGGCGGCGCGCCUAAUACAUGCAAGUCGAGCGAGAAGGUGUAGCAAUACGCUUGUAAAGCGGCGAACGGGUGAGGAAUACAUGGGUAACCUACCCUCGAGUGGGGAAUAACUAGCCGAAAGGUUAGCUAAUACCGCGUACGCUUCCGGGACUGCGGUUCCGGAAGGAAAGCGAUACUGUGAGCAUCGCGCUCUUGGAUGGGCUCAUGUCCUAUCAGCUUGUUGGGAGGUAACGGCUCACCAAGGCUUCGACGGGUAGCUGGUCUGAGAGGACGAUCAGCCACACUGGCACUGCGACACGGGCCAGACUCCUACGGGAGGCAGCAGUAAGGAAUAUUGCGCAAUGGACGACAGUCUGACGCAGCGACGCCGCGUGGGGGACGAAGGUCUUCGGAUUGUAAACCCCUUUCGGGAGGGAAGAUGGAAUGGGGUAACCUAUUCGGACGGUACCUCCAGAAGCAGCCACGGCUAACUUCGUGCCAGCAGCCG
rnacentral:rRNA from 1 species